UCUCGUCGUCGUCGGUGGGGACGGUGAACUCUCGCCGCCGGAGUGUCGCGCGCCCGGCCGGCACGCGAGACGAUUGCCGAGCCGCAGUACGCGAAACACGUUCGACCGGGUCGGCGGUGGCGGACGACGCGAAAAUUUUCACGACACGUGCGACUUCGAGCCUAUACACGACGAGAUAUCAUAAUAUUAUUAUUGUUAUUUUUUUGUCAUAUAAUUAUAUUAUUAUUACGCCCACGCGGUAUAAUAGAAAUUCGCAGUUAUCACGCGAAUUACGUUAUAAUCUGGUUGCGUUAUCAUAGUAAAUAAAUUAUAUACAUUUUAAACAAUAAUAAUAUAUAUGUAUCGGUUUUCAUAACCGUCAACAGGAAUCGACGCGACACAUUCGUUUUUUAUAUCGCGUGUUUUAUUUCCGCCGUCGCGAAAAUCUCGACCAAUUUGGUUUCAGUGCGAUUUAAAAUCAAUUUUUUUUUUAACGCCAAUUAACGAAAUCCGUCUGUCCGGUCAAUCAUCGCUAUAAUAAUAAUAAUAUUAUAAUAUACGUAUACCUAGCUACUACUGCUUCUCCGCAGCAAACGAUUUAUUACUAAUAUUAUACAAUUGAAUCGGCGACGACCAGCUAAAACGAGAUAGGAUUUGUUUGCUUGUAGAUACGUGGUCGUUUGUCAAACACGUGAAAUCUGACCUCGCUACAUCAUUUUGUCGUAUAUUGAUGCCACACGCUUGUGACCGCGACGAUACACAGAAUGGAGGUUAUUCCUCUGAUACGGAGUUCAGCCACCGGUUCGGAUGCGUCCAAAGGUGAUAACGGCAUCAAAAGACACGUCCAAGAAUGGUCGAGACUCGACAGGUUGACCGGAAUCUUGGAGCACGCCAGAGUCGAAGCGGACCAAUGGACCAAUCACACUGCCAACACUAAACACAAAUAUGG